rnacentral:lncRNA from 1 species
UACAUCAAUGGCAACAGAUUUAUUUAUUUAUUUUUGGGAAGUUUCACAAAUAUACCAAUGGAGGGUUGUUGAUUUGGUUGAACAAGAAAUCAUAGGUCAGCCAGAGAGGACAACCACCCUCCAAAAAAAUUUCCCUAUCCCUGUUGGCCUCAUUCUUCAUACUGGGCUAAGCUUCCAUUACUCUGUAAACUGUAAGUCCCUGCAACUUUGUAAACUUCAGCUAUUCUCUAAACAGGGUCCUAAAAUACAGGAAAUUACAACACCCAAUGACAUUGGAAAUGGUCUAAAAGCGGCUAUUUGUGCACUUCAUCCACAUACAAAAGCUAAAAGAAUUGUUGAUUAGAGCAAAGAAAUCAUUGACAUACCAGAGAUGGUCGACCACCCUGUAAAAAUGCCCAUUUUCCUCCGAUUGGCUUGUCCUUUAGAGCUAAAAUGAACAAGGUUUCCAUCAAAUGAAUUUCGGGGUUUGGAUCCUGGAACUCAUUGGAUGUUGAGGCUCAUAUCUGUGUAAAAUGGGGCAAAGAGAAGAUGACAACACCGUGGCUGCAAAAUCAACCAGUUACAUAAUCUGGGUUUGCCCCACCAAGAUACGAGUCGGAUUUUCUCCUUGCCCAGAAUUGGCAAUAUUAUCACUGCCUCCUUCGAAAGAUGGAUUCUUUUCCAUAUCAAUAGUGAACAGGUUCAAGACAAGUGAAUUAGAAGAGAGGGAGUAUUACUACUGCUGCUAUCAACUAAUCAUCAAUAGAAACAUAUACCAACGGAGGAUUGUUGGUUUGGUUGGUCAGAGAAAUCAUAGGUCAAUUAGAGAGGGCAACUACCCUCAAAGAAUUUAGAGAAAACAAUAAAAACAGUACUAGUACUUCUAAGGAGGGUUGUUAAUUUUGUUUAUGGGGAAAUCAUAGGCCAAGCAGAGGCACCCUCAAAGAAUUCCCUUUUUCUCUGUUGGCCUCAUUCUUCAUACUGGGCUGAACCUCCAUUUUUCUAUGCUUUUGCAGCUGCUUUUCCUGUAAAAGCAGUAACAGACUGAGAGACAGAAAGAGACAUCCAAUUAUUAUUAUUUGUAUAUAUGAUAUAAAGGCUGUUGAUUAGAGAUAAGAUAAAAUCACUGGUAUACCGGAGAUGGUCAACCACCCUGAAAAAUCCCUUUUUACUCCGAUAACCUCAUUUUUGAGAUAAAAUUUUGAUGGAGAACUGCAUCUGAAAAAUGGGGUUCAACAAAAGCUGAAAAUCCAACUGCGUAUCUCAGUUCCUGAAACGACCAUCCAUUUAAGAUAAUCACACGCUUGCCAUAGACUAAAGGGCUCAGAUUUUGCUGUAUAAGAACAUGCAAAGAGAAAGCGACAUUGCCAUGGCUGCAGAUACACCGAUUUGCAAAUGGAUGCCUUACCGGGUCGCCCUGCCAAGAUACGAGUCGGAUUUUCUCAACGCAGUCAAGCAGAUUAUAGUCCAGAAAGAAGCAAAUCAUCAUCACAGCCCAUUUUAUCAGAUCAAUCAACAUCAAUAAAACACCUCAUUUACGUUCCGAACUCUUAAAAAAAGCAGCUACCUUGUUGUGUCAUUUCUACCUUGCAGAAGCACAAGCAGAAAAAGCAUAUAUAUAUUUGGAAUCUAUGGCCAAACGC